AAAAUUGAUAGUGGAAUUGGAAGUGAAUAUAUUAUUGAUCUGAUGGGUGCUUCUGGAACACUAAUUCCUGCUAAGUUCAAUUUUGUUAGUUUGGAAUGAAGAAAGUGAUGGAAUUGGACUGGUUUGAAAGACUUGCUUGCUAUAUUCAUCUGACUAGCUAUGUGAUUGUGUCAUGCAGAUGUGGUUCAUGAUG